GCUGUUUCUACCUGAGUGAGCAACAGCAUCUGAAAAGGCCCAGGCACCAAAGGAAGAAGCACCCCGGGGAAUACCCUCCACAGCAGAGUGGAGAUGGAAGGGGAGGAGGAAACCCUUGGGCAAGAAGAAACACCACGUUCUUCACACUCCAAACAGUUCAAGAGAUCCACGAUGACCCAGAGGAGGAGGCAACGAGUGCUCGUCAUAGGAGACUCCAUCCUGAGAGGUACGGAAGGACCCAUCUGUCGCCAGGACCCCUCGGCACGAGAGUGACCGGACGAGGAAGACGGCAGGAGAACUGCAUCAGAGAGACCAACUGGCGGCUUCGGCAGUGGUGUCUCGAGGCAGGCUUCGGCUUCCUGGACAAUGACCCGCACAUCACAACGAGGGACACGCUCAGUUGGGAUGGGCUUCACCAAAGGACAGCCCAGCCUGAAGAAGCCCAUCCCAACUGAGCCUGAAGAAGGAGAACAUUGGGAACCUGAAAGCCAUGGGGAGGCCAGCACUACAGAACAGGUGGUGAGCCUGGAGUCUGUCUGGGAACCUGUGGGUCAGCCUCCCUCUUUCUUUAGAACCAAGUAACAGCAAGUUGUGGCAGGAGAGUAAAGAGGGGGGAAGCUGAUCCCCAGAGAAGAGAAAUCCAGCAAGACUUGGCGGGGACACACUUACCGGCAUAAAAAAAAAAAAAAGCAGCCGAAGAUGGCCCCCUGUCACAGGGACUCAAUCAGUUCAUGUGGGAAGCCAUAUGGUUUGCCUAAACCUGGGAAAUCCCCAUCUCCCCAGGAGCUUCCUGAACUUCCUUCCCUGGAGCCAGCCAGAAAGCACAUAAACUUCAAUUGUGGUACUAAUAAAAGUUUCCUCACCACUGUCUGUCAUCUUGUCUUCCAAGCGGUGCUUUGUUGUGCUGUCUCUCCCCUGCCAAGCUAGGCUCGAGGGUCACAGCAAAAACCAGCUGAUGGGCUUCUCUUGGGCUCUUUGUGUCUCUCUGGCUGUCUGGCUUGGGGAGGGGACUGUGGGAAGAAAUGCCCCAUGAUGAAAGUCAUUUGAUUGCAGUUGAGCCUUUCUCUCUGAACCAGAAUACACUAAUUGGUCAACAAUGAAUGCCUGGAAAUUCAAAUCCCCUAGCCAAGCACAGGCCCAGCAUAUGGUCUGAUCAGAGUGUUAGGGUGACAAUAAUUUGGAUUUUGGGAAACACUGGAUUUUGGGGAGCAUUGAAUCUGCAGCUGAAUAUAAAGGCUUUUUCCUGUGUCUCAGCAAAAUUGCUGGUCACAAGGUAGAAUAAUAUAUUAAGACUAACAUUGCAAAUGCUUAGGCAAGCAGUUUUCUAAGCAACAUCAUAGUGUUAGAUCCCAUUGUGUAAGAAGAACAAGAUGCAGCCCACCAGCUAUCGUCAGGAGAUAAGACAGAAGCCAAACCUUGGAGAUGGUGCUGAAAUCAGCAAAAACAAGAUGAACCAGCAAGUAACUGAGAGUACCUGAGUUCAUGGCCUUACACAUGCGCUCUUAGCAGAGAGGCAUGUAAAUGAAUGAAAUACAUAGGCAAUUCCAUGCAAAUGAAGCAAACAGUAAACAUAGAUGGAGCUUGAAAUGGGAGGAGAAAUGGGUGGAACAGGAGGAGGGAUGAAGGCAGGAGAAUGCUAACAAGUAUGAACCAAGGUGUAUAAAAUGUGAAAAGAACUGUUGUUCGAGGCUGCUCCCCUAGUUUCAUGGGCUGUGUGUCUGUGAGGGAGCUCACCUGAAGCUGUCUCCA